GGCCUGGUGGUGCAUGGUGCAUACCCACUUGAUGUUCAUAUGCAAACAUUUCUGUUAGUGGUAGGUCCCCCGUUCGAUUCGGGGUCAGGUCA